rnacentral:rRNA from 1 species
ACGAACGCUGGCGGCGCGCUUAACACAUGCAAGUCGAACGGAAAGGCCUGCUUUCCCUUGUGGAUUGCGGGUACUCGAGUGGCGAACGGGUGAGUAACACGUGAGUGAUCUGCCCCCAACUUGGGUAUAAGCCUGGGAAACUGGGUCUAAUUCCCGAUAGGACUGCAGGGUGGUGCCUGUGGUGGAAAUCGAUUUUCUAGUGGUUGGGGAUGAGCUCGCGGCCUAUCAGCUUGUUGGUGGGGUAAUGGCCUACCAAGGCGGCGACGGGUAGCCGGCCUGAGAGGGUGGACGGCCACAUUGGGACUGAGAUACGGCCCAGACUCCUACGGGAGGCAGCAGUGGGGAAUAUUGCACAAUGGGCGGAAGCCUGAUGCAGCGACGCCGCGUGGGGGAUGACGGCCUUCGGGUUGUAAACUCCUUUCGACCGCGAGGAAGCCACCUGGUUGGAAGGGUGGUGACGGUAGUGGUAGAAGAAGCACCGGCUAACUACGUG